GUUUGGUUAUCUUUCUGUGCUGUGGAAGGUUUGUUCUUUCACUCUGCACUAUUUUGCAAUAAAUAUUGCUAUUGCUCACUUUGGGUUUAUAUUGCCUUUAUGAGCUGUAACACUCACCAUGAAGGUCUGCAGCUUUACUCUUGAAGCUUAGCGAGACCACUAACCCACCAGAAGGAAGAAACUCCGGACACGCCGCCUUUAAGAACUGUAAUACUCAGUGCGAGGGUUCACGGCUUCAUUCUUGAGAAAGACAACGAGGAGGGAGCAGCUAGAGGGGUGGAAAUGGGAUCACGUGACCUUGCGAGAAGCAGGGAGAGAGAACACUGCGUCUGCUCCCUUUUAGAACAGCUCAAUAUAGGGAAUCCCUAACAGAGGACUUCCAGGAUAUCCUAGGGACAGCAGAGCCUCAAGAUCCAGGGAGGAUCCUGGAUACCUGAGUCACCACUUGGAGGGGAAUCUCCUGGAAGAACUGAUUGAUCAGCAACAUCUACAUUCAACUUGAGCCUAAAUCAGCAUCCAGCGGCCUUGAGGAAAAAGACUGAGGUUGCUACAGAGGAGAGCAGAAAGAAGAAGGGAGCUAACGUUCAGCUUUUGAUAUUCAAAAUGAGAUUUCUUGGCAAAAUAAUAGGAGAGGAAAAAAUUUUUCCAAGUUUCUUUAGCUCCUAUUUAACAGAUCAAGACUGGCUUUGAUGUGUUGCUCCAGUUCCCCUACCCUCUCCUGCCCUGCUUAGGCCUUGCCUCUUGGUUACAUAGAGGGAGCAGUUGUGGGGAGGAAGAGGCCACCUCUGCUGGUCUACAGUCAAGGUAUUAUCUGGGGCUGGGGUCUCAUCUGAAGACUCAACUGGGGAAAGAUCCACAUCUAAGCUCAUGUGAUUGUGGGGGAGGAAGGGAGGGAGAAGGAUAGAGAGGGAGGUGCUGUGCUUUCUUCCCUGAGCCUUGGGAGGUGGGAGGUCUGGAGGUGGCCUUGAGACCAGCCUGCUAGGAGGUUAUGGGACCUGAGGGGCAGGGGAAAGCUUUUGCCCAGCUACAGGUGGAGUGUGGUCACAUCUCACAUGCUCAGCCUGCUUGGGCUGAAGGAGGCCUGAACAUUUCCAUCCCCAAGCUGACCUCAGUUUAUACUUGUUAGAGUAGCUGACGGAUUGCUGAGAAGCUGGCUACUGGGGAGGACAGUCAUUGUGGGCUGGCCAGGAAGGCUGCCUCUUUCAACGUCCCCAAGGCAACCACUCUAUGUCAGCAAGGACUCCUGAACCCAUGGCAACCCACCAGCUGCUGCUCUGGGAAGUGAGACCUUACCAGCUUGCUGCCUCCCCAGCAAUGCAGCUGCCCUGUUGGUCAGGACAACCUCUCAGGAGGGUAUCAGGCCCUGGUGUACAGUCCUUUCUUCUAGAAAGAGACAAACAGUGCAAUCACCACAGCCUCCCACUUCUUCUUAGACAGAUCUCACAUCGGAUUCACAGGGGCUUCCUGGGAACAUAAUUCUGUUGAGCCUUAGAAAUCAGGUAGGAUUUUGACUGAUUUGGGAGGUUGGUUAAUUUUACUUUUAUUUUGUUCUCUACAGCUGCUGUUAAGCCUGGCUUAGGGGUCCACCCUUUCCCAGCCCCCUUCCCUUUCUUUAUAACCUGGAUUUUGCACAAUCUAUAUCUCUCUAUAUCUCUGCAUCCAUCCAUCCAUCCAUCCAUCCAUCCAUCCAUCCAUCCAUCUCCCUCCCUUUGCCCAUUUGUCUCUUUCUUGAUAUAGGCUAGACUUUCCCAAAGUAAUUUCAACAAAAAGUAAAGGAAAAAAUCAAAUGAGAUGCACACCUUUCUCUCCAAGCCACAAACAGUGCAUAACAUCAUCAGGUAGUCAGGCUUCUGAAGGUUCUCUACACACGCCUGAUCUCUCCAAUAGCUAAGGCUCUCACUUUCAGUGUGGUUAGUGGUUAGGGAAAUGGACUUGAGAGCUGGACUGCCUGGGCUCAAUUCUCAGCUCUGGUACUGGUCUCAUGGCCUUGGGAAAGUGUUUUGUUGUUGUUGUUUUGUUUUUACAUUUCUCUGCCUCAGUGCUUCUUCGGUAAAAUGGGAAUAAAAAGAGUAACUGUCUCAUAAGAUGACUGUGAGAAUGAAAUCAGUGAAUUAAUAUGUACAAAGAGCUUAAACAUCACUUGGAACAUAGUAAGUGAUAUAUGAGAGUCAGUUCUUAUGACUAGUACUGGGCACAUAAGGUGGCAAGACCCCCUUAUCCCCAUUUUUAGUUCUUGGCAAGUCCCCCUUUGACUCCAGGUUGCUAAGCACAGCUAUGCAGGUUGCACACUACAUACCCCAUCUCCACAGACUCACUCACUCACUCUUCUCCUGUGCAGGGAGGAGUUAGGGUGGCGUUUCGGGCAGAUCAUUAUGGCAAAUGGAGUUUGCAGCAGGACUAACAGGGUCACCUUCAGGGUCCUGGAUGAAGUUCAUUCUUUCAGGGCCACAGAAGCGUAGAAAACUCUUUAGUCAUAAGUUGGUGGGGGUGCCAAGAGGAAAGGCACAGCAGAGAAUGCUAAGAGCCUAAGGAUGUGACUGGAGAAUCUCCUGAAGUUAUAGAUCCUGCAGGCAGGGCUGGCUUCAGGGAAGUGCAACCUGUGCAGUCGCACUGGUCCACAUGCUUGGAAGAGGCCCCUUAUUUUCACUUUGCACUGAGUCCUCAAGUUACAUGACUGGUCAGUCCUACCCCAUAAGGCAUGGAUUGCAAAGGAGAACAAAGAAUCCACGGAGGUGAUCGACUUUGAGGUGAAGCUGGGAGAGGAAGAUGAUGGUGCCAUCAACAGAAAAAGAGUCUUUCUAUUGCCUUCUUGGCUGGCAGGCUUUGAUGACUCAGGCUGCCAUACUGAAGAUGCCCACAUGGCCAGGAGCUGGGACCUUUAUUCUAACAACCCUCAAGCAGCUGAAUCCUGCCAAUAAUCAUGUGAGCUUGGAUGUGGGUCCUUCCCUACUUGAACCUUCAGAUGAGACCCCAGCCCCAGCUGAUACUUUGACUGCAGCUUUGUGAGAGACCCUGAGACAGAGGACCGAGAUGAGCCAUGCCUUGGCUGCUGGCCCACAAAAACUGUGAGAUCAAAAUGAUGUGUUGUUUUAAGCCAUUAACUGUGUGGUAACUUGUCAAACAGUGUAUUAGGCCAUUUGUGUUGCUACAAAGGAAUACCCGAGGCUGAGUAGUUUAUUAAGAAAAGAGGUUUAAUUGGCUUAUGGUUCUGCA
rnacentral:lncRNA from 1 species